CUUGGUCAUUUAGAGGAAGUAAAAGUCGUAACAAGGUUUCCGUAGGUGAACCUGCGGAAGGAUCAUUAUCGUAUAAUGGAGGUGCCGGGGCUGUCGCUGAACUUUUUGUGCACGCCCCGGUGCUCUCUCACAAUCCAUCUCACCCCUUUUGUGCAUCACCGUGUGGGCGCUCUCCUUUUGGUUUGUUCUGAAAGGGGGCGUUUGCGCUUUUAUACACACCCACUGCAUGUGUAGAAUGUCUUACUAUUUGCGAUAACACGCAAUCAAUACAACUUUCAACAACGGAUCUCUUGGCUCUCGCAUCGAUGAAGAACGCAGCGAAAUGCGAUACGUAAUGUGAAUUGCAGAAUUCAGUGAAUCAUCGAAUCUUUGAACGCACCUUGCGCCCCUUGGUAUUCCGAGGGGCACACCCGUUUGAGUGUCGUGAACAUCCUCAACCUGCUUGGUUUUUUCUCAAACCCAAGUAGGCUUGGAAUUUGGAGGUUUUCUGCCGGCCUCCUCCGAAGCCAGCUCCUCUUAAAUAUAUUAGUGGGAUCCGCUUUGCCAGAUCCUCGACGUUGAUAAGAUGUUUCUACGUCUUGGGUUUUGCUCGCGAAGGACCUGCUUCUAACCGUCCCACCAGGGACAAUGUUCGAGCCGAUCGCCCCUUCACCGGGUCGAGAAGCUUUCGACCCAUGAAACCUUGACCUCAAAUCGGGUGAGACUACCCGCUGAACUUAAGCAUAUCAAUAAGCGGAGGA
rnacentral:rRNA from 1 species